rnacentral:rRNA from 1 species
UACGUAGGUGGCGAGCGUUGUCCGGAAUUACUGGGUGUAAAGGGAGCGCAGGCGGGACUUCAAGUUGGAUGUGAAAUACCGCAGCUCAACUGCGGGGCUGCAUCCAAAACUGAAUCUCUUGAGUGAAGUAGAGGCAGGCGGAAUUCCUAGUGCAGCGGUGAAAUGCGUAGAUAUUAGGUGGAACACCAGUGGCGAAGGCGGCCUGCUGGGCUUUAACUGACGCUGAGGCUCGAAAGCGUGGGGAGCAAACAGG